CAACGUAUGGCUUAGUGGUCAGAGCGCUUGGAAGGUUUUCAAGAGGAACAGGUUCAAAACCUGCUACUUUUA
rnacentral:tRNA from 1 species